AGUGAACGCUGGCGGUAGGCCUAACACAUGCAAGUCGAACGGCAGCACAGUAAGAGCUUGCUCUUACGGGUGGCGAGAGGAGAACGGGUGAGAAAAACAUCGGAAUCUAAUUUAACAUGGGGGAUAACGUAGGGAAACUAACGAUAAUACCGCAAGAGAGCAACGGGUGAAAGCAGGGGAUCUUCGGACCUUGCGCGAUGGAAUGAGCCGAGGUCGGAUUAGCUAGUUGGCGGGGUAAAGGCCCCCCAAUGCGACGAUCCGUAGCUGGGCGGAGAGGAUGAUCAGUGACACUGGAAGUGAGUCACUGUCUAUAUUCCUACGGUAGUUAGCAGUGGGGCAUAUUGGACAAUGGGCGCAAGCCUGAUCCAGCCAUACCGCGUGGGUGAAGAAGGUCUUCUGGUUGUAAAGCCCUUUUGUUGGGAAAGAAAAUCAGCAGGUUAAUACCCCGCUGUUCUGACGGUACCCAAAGAAUAAGCACCGGCUAACUUCGUG
rnacentral:rRNA from 1 species